AAGUGUUACAGUUCUUUUAGAAUUUGUCAAGUAGGUUUUCCCGUCCUUACCAGAAGACCCUU
rnacentral:snRNA from 1 species